CUGUCGCCGUCCUGUACAUACAGCGGAGUUGUCAGUCCUCCCCACCUCUACACUUCUCUAGACUUCAUUGCUGGGUGGAAACGUAAAUAAACAUUGCGGCGUCUCCUCCUGCUCAAUACCGAAUAAUACCGACACAAAUUGAUCAUGGGAUUUUAAUCAGAAUUUUUGGGCAGACAGCGCCGCUUUAUUAAUCGCAAGGGGUAGUGCUUCGUGGUUUCCGGAACAUUUAAAGGUUCUGUUCCGGUUGUUCUAGGAGGUUAGUGUGCUCCAGUGCUCCAUUUUUACACACACAAGUAUGGAACUCGACCUGGAAAUGUUCUUGACAUGAGCAAAUAAGUCUAUGGAGUCAUUUUACCUGAAAGUAUAGGAAGAUCGGCA